rnacentral:rRNA from 1 species
GACGUAGGGCGCGAGCGUUGUCCGGAUUUAUUGGGCGUAAAGAGCUCGUAGGCGGCUCGUUGCGUCGGCUGUGAAAACCCGCAGCUCAACUGUGGGCUUGCAGCUGAUACGGGCGGGCUGGAGUUCGGUAGGGGAGACUGGAAUUCCUGGUGUAGCGGUGGAAUGCGCAGAUAUCAGGAGGAACACCUAUGGCGAAGGCAGCUCUCUGGUACGUGACUGACGCUGAGACGCGAAAGCGUGGGGAGCGAACAGG